UGGCAGUGGCUCAACUGGGUAGAGCUUUGCCUGCGACGCAUAAGACCAGGGUUCGAGUCCCGCUGUAG
ensembl:tRNA